GGACCGUUAGCUCAGCGGUGAGAGCGCCCGGCUCAUAACCGGGUGGUCUGGGGUUCGAAUCCCUGACGGUCCA
rnacentral:tRNA from 1 species